rnacentral:tRNA from 1 species
GAGGGCAUAGAUCAGAGGUAGAGUGCAUGCUUGGCAUGCAUGAGGUCCUGGGUUCAAUCCCCAGUAGCUCCA